UACGGAGGGUGCUAGCGUUGUUCGUAAUUACUGGACGUAAAGCGCACGUAGGCGGCUAUUCAAGUCAGAGGUGAAAGCCCGGGGCUCAACUCCGGAAUUGCCUUUGAAACUGGAUGGCUAGAACACGGGAGAGGUGAGUGGAAUUCCGAGUGGAGAGGUGAAAUUCGUAGAUAUUCGGAGGAACACCAGUGGCGAAGGCGGGUCACUGGACCGUUGUUGACGCUGAGGUGCGAAAGCGUGGGGAGCAAACAGG
rnacentral:rRNA from 1 species